GUCUCCUCCCGAGACUCAGCGAAGUUGAAAUGUUUGUGAUGAUGCAAUCUACCCGCGGCUAGACGGAAAGACCCCAUGAACCUUUACUGUAGCUUUGCAUUGGACUUUGAACCAAUCUGUGUAGGAUAGGUGGGAGGCUUUGAAGCGGGGACGCCAGUUCUCGUGGAGCCAACCUUGAAAUACCACCCUGGUGUGUUUGAGGUUCUAACCUUGGUCCGUUAUCCGGAUCGGGGACAGUGCAUGGUAGGCAGUUUGACUGGGG
rnacentral:rRNA from 1 species